rnacentral:rRNA from 1 species
AACGAAGGCUGGCGGCAUGCCUAACACAUGCAAGUCGAACGAGACCUUCGGGUCUAGUGGCGCACGGGUGCGUAACGCAUGGGAACCUGCCCUUAGGUUCGGAAUAACUCCCCGAAAGGGGUGCUAAUACCGGAUAAUGUCUUCGGACCAAAGAUUUAUCGCCUUUGGAUGGGCCCGCGUUGGAUUAGCUAGUUGGUAGGGUAAAAGCCUACCAAGGCGACGAUCCAUAGCUGGUCUGAGAGGAUGAUCAGCCACACUGGGACUGAGACACGGCCCAGACUCCUACGGGAGGCAGCAGUGGGGAAUAUUGGACAAUGGGCGAAAGCCUGAUCCAGCAAUGCCGCGUGAGUGAUGAAGGCCUUAGGGUUGUAAAGCUCUUUUACCCGGGAUGAUAAUGACAGUACCGGGAGAAUAAGCUCCGGCUAACUCCGUG